AUUGAACGCUGGCGGCAGGCCUAACACAUGCAAGUCGAACGAGUGGCGGACGGGUGAGUAAUGUCUGGGAAACUGCCCGAUGGCGGGGGAUAACUACUGGAAACGGUAUCUAAUACCGCAUACCAUCGGAUGUGCCCAGAUGGGAUUAGCUAGUAGGUGGGGUAAAGGCUCACCUAGGCGACGAUCUCUAGCUGGUCUGAGAGGAGUAUCAACAACCCUGGGCCUGAGACACGGCCCAGACUCCUACGGGAGGCAGCAGUGGGGAAUAUUGCACAAUGGGCGAAAGCCUGAUGCAGCCAUGCCGCGUGUAUGAAGAAGGCCUUCGGGUUGUAAAGUACUUUCAGCGAGGAGGCGUUACUCGCAGAAGAAGCACCGGCUAACUCCGUGCCAGCAGCCGCGGUAAUAC
rnacentral:rRNA from 1 species